rnacentral:piRNA from 1 species
UGCAAAAACCUGUUUCUACUUGUGGUAUG